rnacentral:rRNA from 1 species
UAAGACAGAGGUGGCAAGCGUUGUUCGGAAUUACUGGGCGUAAAGGGCGCGCAGGCGGUUCGUCAAGUCCCGUGUGAAAUCCCCCGGCUCAACUGGGGAACUGCGCGGGAAACUAGCGGACUUGAGUUCGGGAGAGGAAAGCGGAAUUCCGGGUGUAGCGGUGAAAUGCGCGGAUAUCCGGAGGAACACCAGUGGCGAAGGCGGCUUUCUGGACCGACACUGACGCUGAGGCGCGAAAGCUAGGGGAGCGAACGGGAUUAGAUACCCCGGUAGUCCUAGCCCUAAACGUUGAGCACUGGGUGUGGGGGGUAUGAACCCCCCCUGUGCCGAAGCUAACGCAUUAAGUGCUCCGCCUGGGGAGUACGGUCGCAAGGCUG